GAGAGAGAGAAAGAAGGGGGAGACAGAGAGACACAUAGAGACAGAGAGACAGAGAAAGGAGAGAGAGAAAAUAUUCUCCUUUGCUUUCUAAUAGGACCAAUUACAUCAUAGGAGAUGUUUUGACUGAAUGAUGAAUUGGAUUUAAGUCAGACAGAUUUGUGCAGUAAUCAGUCUCACUCUUUCUUCUCUCUUCAGUGGCAAGACAAAGGUUAAGAUGAUAGUUACAGACUGGGAUGCAGUGGCUAACCUUGGUAUCUUUGAUGUCUGACCAAGCUCUAAGUGCCAUUGGACUUCCUGGUCACCUUCAUGGUGGAUGGACCAAAUAGUUCUCGUUCAUCCAUUCUGCCAGGGAAAGUCUUCACAUGCUUGGGGCGGAUAUCUCUUUAACUCAGUGACAGGUUUAAAUCUAUUGGCUAUCCUCAACCUGGUUUAGCUCAUCUGCCAAGAUCAUUUUACAGAGUGGGGUGGAGGCAAAGGAGGAGGAAGAGGUGGCUGAUCACCAUACUCCAAUUUCUUGGAGACACAGCAUGAGAGCUGAGUGUCAGGUAAACAGCAAAGGUGAAUGAGCAGCCCUGAAAAGGGCCCAGAAAGCCCUCACAGCACAAGUGCUAGUUUUCUUUGAAUACUCUAUACACCCCAGAUCAGUGGUUCUCAAAGUAUGGUCUAGAGAAUCCUGGAGAUCUCUGAAACCCUUUUAGAAGGUCUACAAAUUCAAAAAUAGUUUUUAUUUCCAAUAUGGUAAAUGUUUAUAAAUAUAAUCCAGAUAAACAAAAACGCUUUGGAGAGAUCCUCAAUCAUUUUUAAUAGGAUAAAGAUACUGAAAACAAAAAUUUGAUAACCUCUGCCCCAGAUGGAAUAAUAGUACCAAAGGCAGAAAAAGAGGGGUUAGCCUUGGCAAGGAGAAAGUCUAUUUUUUUUCUCAGAGACUGGUUCAAAGGUGGAGAGAAUGAGAGCCAAUACCAAGAAAAUUUGAAGUGUAGACUUAGGGAGAAGGGGGAGUUUAAGAUUCUGUGGUUAGUCUUACAAUCCAAAUCUCUCAUACUGAAAAGAAUUGGAGAAGACUCAUUUCUAUUGUACAGCUAUUCUCUCCAACUGAAGUUUAGUCACUGUCCCUCUAUAAGCUGUGCUGUCAUUGGUCAUCAGUGGGCAGAGGAAGCAAGUAAGGAGCAAGGUUAAUAAAUCCAAUUAGUGUGGAUAUUAGUAUCUGGUAGUAUUUUUUUUUUUUUGGCUCCCUGAUAACUUCUCCCUGACACCACAUAUUUGGGGUAUUCUGCCCUUGUUCUACUGCAAACUAGUAUUGACACAGGAUCAUAGGUCGAGAGGUGGAAGGAUACUUUGGCAGUCUUCUCACCAAACUCCUUUAUUCUACAGAAAAAGAAACUAAGACUCAGAGAAAUUAAAUAAUUAGUCAAGAUCAUAUGGAUUGAAGAUGGCAGGGUCAAUAUUUGAGCACAAGUCCCUGCAAUCUAAAGGGAAUAUACCAUCCAUGAUACCAUUAACUUUCUCUCCCAGGAUGAGAGUACCAAGUAGUUAAGCAACUUGCUGAGGAUCAUAGAAAUAGUACAUUUAAAGCAGGGCUUGAACCCAUCUCCCUGAAAAUGCUUCUCAAUCAAAGCACAACAAUUUAGAAGGCAACUCUGCUAACAAAUAUUAUUCCCAAGUCAAAUUCAUUUAUUAGCUUUGAAUGAGCUAUUGUCCUAGAUCAAUUCUGUUCUUUUUCAUUAGCCCAGAUAAUAACAAAACAUUAAAUUCUAGGGCCUCAGCAUCUUGCUUAACCAUCCACACCUCUUUAACAGGUGAGAAAUGGUCAAAGGCACCAGAGAAAAUUAUAGUCCCUUCCACACCUCUGCCUGUAUAGAUGUAAUUCACUCAAAGUAAAGCUAGAUAUAGGUAUAAUUACUGAAAAUGGAAUUAUAUUUUAAAAUCACAUGGAGGAGGAAUAACUUAAGGAAACCUUAAGGUGAAAUUUCCUAAAAAGCAGAGAAGUGUUUAUAGUGUACAUAGUAUAAAUUAUUGCUUUGUGAUUCCUCUACUUGAGGGUGUGUGUGUGUGUAAUAGUGGAUAGGGAACUGGUCUGCCUCUAAAACUAAAUCAGAGGCUGAAUGCUCCUGGGCAAGUCACUUAAAUUUCUAAGACUUUAAGAUAUAUAGUAGGUACCAAAAUGCUUUAGUCUAGGGAGUUAGUUCCCUGCACCAAUGAAAUUCCAAUUUCGUUUUUUUUUUUUUUUUUUAAUCCUCUACUAUAUGAACAGAAGGCUUUGAAUAUUGGCUUCUUUUCAAGUUUGUGGUAAUGAAAUUGGCACUUUUUUUUGGAUUUGGGAGCUGAUUUAACAGCUGAAAGCAUCACACCACUCAUUCACAUUUACAAAACAGACCAAAGUUCAACAAAACCUUUCUUCUCAUGACCAUUUGUGAGCUUCCAAAGCAUUUACAGAUAGCUUCACAAAUGAAAAGUUAAGCGGAAUAUAAGAACACAAUCAUACUCCAUGAACUACUAAUAAAAUUUUUUAAAUCCUGCCCCCCCCCAGCAAUCAAUUUUCUCAUUUAAUAUGCUAAAAUUAGCCUAAAUCACCAAUGCUCAAUUUAGUAUCAUUCAAAGAGUACCAGUUUCUUAGAAUUAGAAGUGAUCUUAGAGGUCAUUUAAUCCAAUACCCUGCCUGAAAAAUAAACCUGUUAUUAUCUAUUAUGUUUAGAGAUAAGAAUCCCUUAUCUCUAUACAGAUGACUCCUAGAUCUAAGUAGCCCACCCCGGGCUCUCUCCUGACCCCCAAUUCCAUACCACAAAUGAUUUAUUAGGCACUUUGAACAGGAUAUCCCCUUGGCAUUUCAAACACAAUAUGCCCCCAAAAGAAAUUAGUCUAUUUUCUCACAAACCCACCCUUCUUCUGCACUUCCCUAUCAUUGUUGAAGCCAUCAUUAGACUUUCAGUAAUCAAGGUUUGAAACUUGGGUCUCAUCCUUGACUCUUCAUUCUCACUCAUCCCAUGGAGUUGCCAAAUCUUGUUUUUUCUCACUCUGAGACAUUUCUCAAAUUCACAUGGCCAUUAAUCACCAUUAAUCACCAUUAAUUAAUUGCCUGUAUUAUUUUGGUAGUUUCUUUUUCCUAUUCUGGUCUCUCCCCACUCCAAUUCAUGUUCCCCAUAAUGGCCAAAGAAAUUUUCCUAAAGGACAGGUCUGAACAUGUCAUCCCUCUAUUCAAUAAACCCCAGUAGCUCUCCAUUACUUCUGGUGUCAAAUAUAAGCUCUUCUGUCUGACAUUUAAAAUUCUUUCCAGCUUGAACCAUUCUCAUUGUUGUAGCCAUUUUACACAUUACUCCUCUCUGCACACAAAGAGUCCAGCUGUUCUGCACAUGUGAUGUUCCAUCUCCUUUUCCCUGGAUGUCUUCCAGGCUUAAAAUGUACUCCCCUUCCUCACUUCAGUCUCUUGGAAUUCCUCAUUCCCUUCAAGAUCAAGCUGAGUUGCCAUCUUGUAACCUCCAUGUAGCCUAUUCUGAAAAUAUCCCUAUAGGGAUAUUUUGUAUAUAUUUAUGUGAACAUCUUGUUUCCCCCAUUAAUAAAUAACUUCUUUGAGGGCAGAGAUGGUUUCAUUAUUGUCUUUAAGAUGCAGAGUUUGAGUACUUGAUGAAUGCUUUUUGACAGAGUGAUUAAAAAAGUGAACAUACAUAAGUGUGAAGCUCUGAUGCUUAUUCUAGAUUCAAAAUCCUUGGCGGAGCAGGACAGUAAGUUAACAUAUAUAUUAUGUGCUUAUCAACCAAUCAAUCAAUCAAUCACUAUUUAUUAGGCCCCCAUUAUGUGUUGGUCAAAAAUGCUAAAUGACUUUGGAUAAAAAAAAAUUAGCUUGCAAUCUAAUAAAGGAGACAACAUGCAAAUAGCUAAAUAGGAGAAAUAGGGGAGAAUUUCUGAAGAAAGGAAAGAUUUCUUGCAUUAAGUGGGCUUUUAGUUGAGAUUUAAGUCAACUUUUUAAAUAUAUUGUUCACAAUUCGUGAAGUGCUCUGUCCUAGUCCUGACCAAGAGGAUACAAUCUAGCUAAUAAGAUUAAAUACAAAUCAGUGGAAAAAUAAGCAAUACAACCCGGAUUACCAGUCACAAGCUAAAGGAGAGGCAGAAAGAUCCAAAGCUAGGUCUCGGGCCCAGCGGACAGAGAGGAGCUCCACUCUGAAUCCCGACAGAGGAGAUUGGGGAAAGGGGAUCUCAUUUUGCACUUUUGUCAGAAAAAAAGAGCAGGGCUUAGAAUACGCAGGGCCCGCAACUACGACUCGCAGCCAAACAGAAAAGCAAAACUGAAACCUGGAGGGAAAGGGCCAGGGCUGGGGGUGCAAUGGCGGUAGAAGAACGUGAGCUCCACCGUGGUCAUACCGGGCCACUCCCUUCGGUUCGAGCUCGCGGGAACCAGCACCAGGCUUGGAAAAGGGACUUUUUUGGCUUAAAUUUCCAAAACAUCUGCAGAAUGGAGCAGCUGAUCGCCCUCCCUCUACAAAAGGCUUCAAUUAAAUCUUAAAAAAAAAAGAUCAAUUAAAUUAAAAAUUCGUUUAUUCAUCAUA